rnacentral:rRNA from 1 species
AAACCAGCACCUCAAGUGGUCAGGAUGAUUAUGGGGCCUAAAGCAUCCGUAGCCUGCUUUGUCAGUUUUCGGUUAAAUCCAUACGCUCAACGUAUGGGCUGCCGGAAAUACUGCAAAGCUAGGGAGUGGGAGAGGUAGACGGUACUCGGGAGGAAGGGGUAAAAUCCUUUGAUCUCUCGAUGACCACCUGUGGCGAAGGCGGUCUACCAGAACACGUCCGACGGUGAGGGAUGAAAGCUGGGGGAGCAAACCGGAUUAGAAACCCCAGUAGUCC